rnacentral:lncRNA from 10 species
CACACAAUCACCUUUCAUUCACUAACGCUCACAUUUUAGGUGCUUUUCCUUCUUACAUAAUAAAAUAGCAAAGCACAUAGGCCUGGGGUCCCUGGGGAAAGCCAAGUCUGCCUGGCUGCCUUGAGAACUCUGGACUGGAUUUGACAUGGAGGAGUUGGGGAUUGUUGCUCAGGGAUCAGAACAGUGAAACUCAGGUUAAUGAGUAAAGAGUGAGAAUAUGUGUUUGUAUGUUUCUUAAUCCCAUCUACUAGGUGAUUACAAAACUCAUUCAAAGUUGAACACAGUAGAGGUAUUUCAAGUUGCUUUAGAGAGAGAAUUACACACACACAAAAAAUCUUUAGGAGCCAGACAACCACUGUGGACACCAAUAAGAGAGCUCCAACAUUGGUGAGGUAUAGACCCGUCAAAGUUGUUGGUAAUAACAGCAAGGUCCAUCUGGCAAGAUUGGUCACCUGUGGUGGAAGUGGUGGUGACAGCAGGGAUGCAACUGCAGCAAUCAAUGAUGAUGAUCUCACUAGGGUGGGGAGGUGUUAAAGGCAUCUUCACAGCAGCACAGUGCCCAGAAUGCCAAAGAGCAGCAGGAUGGAUCCAGCAUCCUCUCCUGAUAAAAGAGGGCUAGAAGACGGGAGGCUCCGGGAAGUCUACUGGAACGCCAGAAGUGCCAAGCAAUUAACAACCCCAGAAGCAACCCUUAACCAAUGAUUAAAUAAAGUGGAUGAUUACAUACCCAAGCUCCUUCAACUCCCAGGGACAUAAUUCUGAGGGAUGGAAAACAAACUGAAACUGGCUCAAGUGAAUGCUCACUGGAAGGCUUACUGGAAAACUUACUGGAAGGAUGUGAGGACAUGUUCGGGAAUCUAUUUGCAGAAAACAUAUUCAGCCCUGUCCACCACAGCCAGCUGGCUGAAGAGCUCAAAAGGCAAGAAAUCAGCAAGAGAGAGAGAUGAAGCAUGAGAAAUGAGCAAAAAACACCCAGCACAUCAUAAUCUUGGACAGUUUAGCAGUACAUGAAAAUAGAUGGUCCUCGCCCCAAGGGACUGCAGUAACCCUGAAUAAACAGGAUGUCUCUCACUUUUAGCAGUUCUUUCUGUGCUAGUAUUGGGGAAAUAUAUUUUUGGCUGCAUGCAAAAUGGUAAAAGACAUCUAUUAAGAAAAUGAAAACAAUGCUUCUGUUUUAGACGAAGCUUUUGAAGGUUUAAGGAUCACCUAUUUAUUGACAAAAUUGUUUCCGUGGCUUAAAAAUAAAAUACAAACAAAUACUACAGGUAUUCUUGCCUUCUCAUUCUACUUAAAAUCACAUUUCCAAAGACUUUCUUCUCUACUUAAAAACAGGAAUUAAGAAAUACUCAAAAGAGAUCCUAGACAAAACUAACAUUUCAGCAACCAAAGAUAAAUCAUGCUUUUAGAGGAAGAUGCUAGGUUCUAGAAUCUCUCUGAACACCGUGUAGCACUAAGAAACUACAAUCACUGGCUGAGACCUUGAUCAAAUAAUGGCUAACAUAUAAGAUGCUUAUUCUAGUCAGGCACACUUCUAAGAGCUGUAUAUCUGCUAAUUCAUUUAUUCUCCUAGGAUAUAAAGGAUCAGCAGAUCCUUCAGGCUCUGGUAUGUUCUGAGAUGAGUUAACCCAGAAAUUGUCAUCAAAAGACAGAUUCAGCAAAACGGAAA